GGCCCCGUAGCUCAGCGGAUAGAGCAGUAGCCUUCUAAGCUAUUGGUCGGAGGUUCGAUUCCUCCCGGGGUCGCCA
rnacentral:tRNA from 2 species